rnacentral:rRNA from 1 species
CAGGUUUACCUGUGUGACUGCGUACCUUUUGUAUAAUGGGUCAGCGACUUAUAUUCUGUAGCAAGGUUAACCGCAUAGGGGAGCCGGAGGGAAACCGAGUCUUAAUUGGGCGUUAAGUUGCAGGGUAUAGACCCGAAACCCGGUGAUCUAGCCAUGGGCAGGUUGAAGGUUGGGUAACACUAACUGGAGGACCGAACCGACUAAUGUUGAAAAAUUAGCGGAUGACCUGUGGCUGGGGGUGAAAGGCCAAUCAAACCGGGAGAUAGCUGGUUCUCCCCGAAAGCUAUUUAGGUAGCGCCUCGUGAAUUCAUCUCCGGGGGUAGAGCACUGUUUCGGCCAGGGGGCCAUCCCGGCUUACCAAUCCGAUGCAAACUGCGAAUACCGGAGAAUGUUAUCACGGGAGACACACGGCGGGUGCUAACGUCCGUCGUGAAGAGGGAAACAACCCAGACCGCCAGCUAAGGUCCCAAAGUCAUGGUUAAGUGGGAAACGAUGUGGGAAGGCCCAGACAGCCAGGAUGUUGGCUUAGAAGCAGCCAUCAUUUAAAGAAAGCGUAAUAGCUCACUGGUCGAGUCGGCCUGCGCGGAAGAUGUAACGGGGCUAAACCAU